rnacentral:rRNA from 1 species
GACGUAGGGCGCGAGCGUUGUCCGGAUUUAUUGGGCGUAAAGAGCUCGUAGGCGGUUCAUUGCGUCAAUCGUGAAAUCCUGUGGCUCAACUACAGGCUUGCGGUUGAUACGGGUGGGCUGGAGUUCGGUAGGGGAGACUGGAAUUCCAGGUGUAGCGGUGAAAUGCGUAGAUAUCUGGAGGAACACCGGUGGCGAAGGCGGCAUCCUGGACCAAUAUUGACGCUGAGGAGCGAAAGCCAGGGGAGCAAACGGG